rnacentral:rRNA from 1 species
UACAGAGGGUGCGAGCGUUAAUCGGAAUUACUGGGCGUAAAGCGCACGUAGUCGGCUUUGCAAGUCGGUUGUGAAAUCCCCGGGCUCAACCUGGGAACUGCAUCCGAGACUGCAUUGCUAGAGUAUGGGAGAGGGAAGCGGAAUUUCUGGUGUAGCAGUGAAAUGCGUAGAUAUCAGAAGGAACAUCAGUGGCGAAGGCGGCUUCCUGGACCAAUACAUGACGAGUCAGGU